CUACGGGAGGCAGCAGUGGGGAAUAUUGGACAAUGGGGGCAACCCUGAUCCAGCAAUGCCGCGUGUGUGAAGAAGGUCUUCGGAUUGUAAAGCACUUUCACUAGGGAAGAUGAUGACGGUACCUAGAGAAGAAGCCCCGGCUAACUUCGUGCCAGCAGCCGCGGUAAUACGAAGGGGGCUAGCGUUGCUCGGAAUGACUGGGCGUAAAGGGCGCGUAGGCUGUUUGUACAGUCAGAUGUGAAAUCCCCGGGCUUAACCUGGGAACUGCAUUUGAUACGUGCAGACUAGAGUCCGAGAGAGGGUUGUGGAAUUCCCAGUGUAGAGGUGAAAUUCGUAGAUAUUGGGAAGAACACCGGUUGCGAAGGCGGCAACCUGGCUCGGAACUGACGCUGAGGCGCGAAAGCGUGGGGAGCGAACAGGAUUAGAUACCCUGGUAGUCCACGCUGUAAACGAUGUGUGCUGGAUGUUGGGUGAUUUUAUCAUUCAGUGUCGGAGCUUACGCGUUAAGCACACCNCCUGGGGAGUACGGCCNCAAGGUUGANACUCAAAGGAAUUNACNGGGGCCCGCACAAACNGUG
rnacentral:rRNA from 1 species